UUGGUGCUUAUGGGUGAAACCUCCCACGCAGCGGCACCUUCGCACCUCCACCUGCAGUGAACUAAUUAACGAAGCAGUGGCGUGCGCAUGCGCGUCUAAGUCUUUAAAUAGCAUCCGACGCUCCUCUUGAAAUUAGUUUGUCACCGUAAUGCGACGUUAGCGUCACGGUCAAAGAGCCAUUGAAGGAGCGUGGUGGAAUCCAACAGGUGAAGCAGCGAAGCCUCCAUUUGUGUCCAGGUGCGUCUCAUCUACGUCCCACAGGUCCGACGCCUGUGAACAGUAGCGGAGAAGACACGCGAUCACAGACAGCGCUGAGGGAACUUGUCUGGAUGUGAAGGACUGAGUCCCGGACAAACCUGUACUGGAGAACGGAGGAACGUGGUACUUCGUUGUUGACACGUUCAAUGAGCUUUGUCAAAUAUAGAACAGAUCCCUCCGCGUGAUGCAGUGACUGGCUGUUCUUAAUAUUUACUGUUCUCAGGCGUGAACAGCGCACGUGCAGGUGUAGACGCUAAGCGCGUCCAUGAGCGCCUCGGUAGCGCGCUUUGGCUUUAAUGCUGUCGAUUGUUGUAAUUAUUUUAUUAUAGAAGUGUGUAUUUUGAGAGGUUCAUCAGGAGAAAAAACAAACCUUUACGUUUCUGGCUUAAACGGAAACAGAUCUUUUCGCCUCCACGUGUCUCACCUUGCUCAAAGAUACUCGAUCAGUCUCUGUUUCUGGUCUGACUUCAUCAAAGUCUAGAUUUGGAAAUAAAACAUCAUGUCUAAAAAUGGGCACAAAGCAAGAGAUUAGUGUCUAAAAUGCUAUAAAACUCCUUGACGUCUCUGCGUGUGAAGCGAGGCGUCCUCAGAGCCUGCACAGCUGUUCUCAAUGAUGGAGGCCUGGAACCAGAGGCUCUGACCUGACAACUGACCACCUCCUUUGGUCUGACCAAAGACUAUGACUAACAUAAAACCUAAAAAAAUAUUUGCAGGAGCAAAUAUCUAUUUUUGUUGUACUGUUUUGAUUUGUUAUUCACUUCCAGUCUGUUUUUAUCUGCUACAUCGUCUUCUACUUUUUCUUUCUUCUUUGGUGGAGUUUUACGGCAGCUGGCAUCCUUUAAGCAGCAUUACUGCCAUAUACCACACUCCAUCCUCUCACAUCCUAUUAACUAUUCCCCUCA